GAUGAACGCUGGCGGCGUGCCUAAUACAUGCAAGUCGAGCGAACAGAUGAGGAGCUUGCUCCUCUGACGUUAGCGGAGGACGGGUGUGUAACACGUGGAUAACCUACCUAUCAGACUGGGAUAACUUCGGGAAACCGGAGCUAAUACCGGAUAAUAUCUUGAACCGUAUGGUUCAUUAGUGAAAGACGGUUUUGCUGUCACUUCUAGAUGGAUCCGCGCCGCAUUGGCUAGUUGUUAAGGUAACGGCUUAUCACGGCAACGAUGCGUAUCCGACCUGAGAGGGGGGUCGGCCACACUGGAACUGAGACACGGUCCAUACUCCUACGGGAGGCAGCAGUAGGGAAUCGUCCGCAAUGGGCGAAAACCUGACGGAGCGACGCCGCGUGAGUUAUGAAGGUCUUCGGAUCGUAAAACUCUGUUAUUAGGGAAGAACAAAUGUGGAAGUAACUAUGCACGGCUUGACGGUACCGAAUCAGAAAGCCACGGCUAACUACGUG
rnacentral:rRNA from 1 species